AUGAAGCUGUGGGGAAGGCCCAAUGAAAAAGUCAGACAAAAGUUUAUAAGUCUGAAUAAAUAACUCUUUGAGAGUCAGUAGAAAAAAAAGAAAGAUAUUAAAAAAACAUAACUAAAAAACCCAGCAAACAAAAAAUUACUUCAUGCCACCUCGGUUACUACUUUGACUAUGUAUAUCCUUGGCAUUGUUUUUGUCCACUCAUUGGAAUUAGAGUCCAAGGAACAGAGUUUACAAAUUCUGGAAGGGAGCAGUCUCUACUCUGACAACAGAAGAGGAAUAUUCAAUGAGUCAGAGAGGAGUCAGAACAUCAUGGACAUGUUGGUCUCUGCAAUAAAGCUAUGACUUUUGUAAGAAGAAUUAAUUAAGCUACUCGGGCAUCUGUUGAUGCGCCAUUUACCAAUUUCUGUGGAUGCAGUUGAGUUUUUCUCCAUCAUCUACAUAACUUUAGUCUGGCUAUUGGAUCAGUGCAUGCUUCUUUUCAUAAAAAGAUAAUUUACGAGCCAGUCUCUCCUUACGGAUUUCACAGCUACCUAAUUCGUUCAUUUUUUUGACACUGAAAAUUAAUUUCCUAUGUCCCUUGAUGUUGCAUUAUAUGAUGACUAAUAAGAAUCAUUACAGUAAUAUUGAAAAACAAAUAAAACCUGAAUGUGAGUCUAGGAGAGAAAAACUGAACUCUCUGGAGGGAAGCAUUCUUCUUUUCCAUCUUGGCAAUUACAAGUGUGAGCCUUUGCUGUCCUGGGAUGGAACGGAUGCCAUAUCACAGUGCCAAGUACAGGAUGAAAGCUCCAGGGGGAAGACACAGCCCACAGUCUGGAAGAAAAUACCACUAGCUCCUCAUGCUACUAUGAUAAAUACUGUGAAAAUGAAACAUAGGGAAGCAUAGGCUUAGAAAUCUCUUAGCACAGAAGAAAUCUCUUGUGGAACACUUCUUGCAAAGCUACUUGCAUGCAGCCAACCGUGCUCAGUCAGGCCAUAGUUUUGAUACGAUGCUGUGCUGUUGCCCUUGCUUGGGUUUAUUCUAUUUCAGAUGUAGGACUUUGCAUUUUCCUUUGUGGGAAUUCACCACAACUUAUUUGCUCAUUCCUUCCAGUAACCAUUGUGCUCAUUUGUGCAAGAAUAUGUAAGUUUUGCUGUUGUGCUUCCCAGAAGGAGUUAAAGUAGGGAAAGCUCUUUUAUGGUUUCUUGCAUAUUCUAACCUAUUACCUUAAUGCCCUUUACUGCAAAUUUUCAGGGUUAAAAAGUUUCACCAUGCUUAGAGAUUAAAAAGCAUGUCUCAUACAGCAUCUAAUUUUCUCAUUUUUCGAGAAUUUUCAUGUAUAUUCAAUCAUCUGAAGCAAUUUAAUCUACUGCGGUAUUGUGGAAACUACAGCUCCUUUCUCCUUGAACUACUUUUAGUGCUUAUCCAAAUUGAGGUAUGAAAGAAAAAUCUGGGCCAGUUCAUUUAUUGAGCUUGGUUACUCUUGUGUUUAAUAUUCUCUAAUGAUCCACUAGUGUAUUCCUGAAUGUGUGUUGCUAUCCAAUAGAUUAUAGCACAGAUACCUAAGCAGCAUAACAAAAGGAAAGCAGUUGCUGGAGAGGGAUGACUAUUAAGUAAUAUAUUCAUGAGCAGCUAGUCUCAGUUUGGCUGUGUCCACAGAUUAUCUGGAUCUUUUUAAUUUAAGAAUCUUGAUAGACACAAAAUGUAACUGAUAUGAAAGUCUCCUAGAAAUAAUUGAUGAGGUAAUGUUCUCUGAGGAAUACGAAUUUGCUGUGCUCUGUCUUUAGCUUCUAACAGAUAUGAAUGAACACAAAUAUUGCACUGUUUUUGGCAGGGAGUGCUGUGGUAACACUUGGUAUGUAAUGCUCUCAGGAUUUUCAGUUCUGACAGUUGCAGCUUCCACUUAUCUGGAAAAUUUGCUUUUUACUUGACAUUAAAUGAACAUGAAUGAGGCUGGUCAUUGGUAAGUGAGUAAUCCAUUAUUCUGUAAAUGCAGACGACACCAUCUAGUUGUGCCUAAGAACUGAAAUUGUCUACUCAGCAAGGAAUUUAAUAUUAAGAGGCAAAACAUGAUUGAAAGUAAUACAUUCAAAGAAUGUUUCUUAUUUAUAUUUCAGAAUACAUUUCUGAAAUACAGAUAAACAAACUAAAAUAUUAUUCCACUCUUUAAACUGAAAUAGUAUAGCUCUCUUUUUAUCAGCAUGUUGGAAAACCAUUGCUUUCCCAGUCAGGAAUAGUUGGUCAAAGUCAGCAUAAAACCUCUCUGCUUCUUGUGGUUAUUUGGAUUUCUUAAAUAUCAAACCAAAGGGACAAAGCACCUUCAGACUCUUCUUUAUCUUGUAGCUAAAAAAGAAGCAAAAACUUGAUUUCCCCCUGAAAUGAGAGAGAUUUCUGAAAUCCCUCUGAUUUCAGAGGGAAAUCAGCUGAAAAUUAACUGUGUGAACUGUGGCCAGACACAGUUUUCAAAUUCUAUUAUUUAGGAACUUAAUUCUAUUUGCAUAUGGAUGUCCCUAUAUUGUUUAGAUGAGCAGGGAGAAGUACUACAUAUCAAUUUCUUUCUCUUAGUUAACUCUCUUGGAAAAGCUGGUGGUUCCUCCAUCUUGAGAAAUCUCAAGGCAAAUAAUGUUCAGAAAGAUCGAAUGCGACACUUCACUGAAACACGAUUCUAGAUAAUUUUGUGAUAAAAUAUCUAACAUCUACAAAAGAGCUUAUAAGUAGAAGUCUUAACAGUAAAUCGUCCCUAUGUUAAUAAAAAUGCAGCAAAGCAAAAAUGGGUGGCUGUGUGCACCUGUAACCAUAACACUGUUUUUUAGAGACUUUGAAGGCAGCAUGCUCUGUUAAAAUUGUGGAGUUUUGGAUCUGUGUGAGCACUGAAAGUUGAUAUCUGACCUGUUUUAAUGAAAGAUUUUAUCUAUUGAUGUCUACAUUAACUAAAUUAGUUUUGUAUAGAGUAAGUAUAAAAGUUUAUUUUACAGAUGAUUCCUCUUCAGAAUUAGAUCUCUUCCAGUAUGUGUAAUUGCAAACCAUCUGUCGAAUUCCAUAUGAUUAAAAAAACAACAAAAAGUGACAUUGAGUAAUCUAAAACAAAAUAGUCCUGACACUUCUGAAAGAAUGAAAUAUAAUUUAAAAAGUGGGAACAGAAAAUAAAAGAUGAGGUGAGAGGACAAAACAGCUGUAGUUCUUCUCUGGAAUCUAGACACCACAAAUGCUUUCUUGUAUGCAAAAAGAAAAUAGAAGCCCCAAAUUUAAGGAAGGAAUAAUAUGAAUGAAUCCAGCCUUAUAAAUAUGCAUUAAUGAUUUUUACUUUAUAUUGUACAAAAAUCCACACAUAAUGCUUUUAUUAAAUGUAUUGACCAUAUCAUCACUGUCUCAUGAGACCUAUAAGGUGCUGCUUAAGAGUAACAUGGGUGUUUGGAUUUUUUUUUCUCUUUUUUUUUUUUUUAUUUUCAACUGAAGAUCUUGUAAAUCCAUCUGUUACAAACAAAUAUUUACCCUGGAAGUGCUGAUCACAGUGUCAGUGAUCCUCAGCUUUUUUCUUUCUCUGUUAUGUUUUUUAUGAAGACAUGUGCAUUUGUAUUGUGUUGUAGCUUAGCUUUCAGUAGAAAUAGUAAUAUGUAUAUUACCCAAAUUAAAAUAACUAAAUAUGUAUACAGAUUAAUAUGGACAUAUUAAUGCACUGAGAUAGGAAUGUGGGGGGGGAAUUGUCUUAUUAAUGAACAUUUGAUACGUCCUUUAAGAUCUGGAAAACAAAAUAAUAACUAGGUAUUUAACUGCUGGUAGAAAUUGA